rnacentral:rRNA from 1 species
GACAGAGGGGGCAAGCGUUGCUCGGAAUUACUGGGCGUAAAGGGCGCGUAGGCGGCUUAUCAAGUCAGGCGUGAAAUUCCCGGGCUCAACCUGGGGGCUGCGCUUGAUACUGAUUGGCUUGAAUGCGGGAGAGGAUAGUGGAAUUCCCAGUGUAGAGGUGAAAUUCGUAGAUAUUGGGAAGAACACCGGUGGCGAAGGCGGCUAUCUGGCCCGUAAUUGACGCUGAGGCGCGAAAGCGUGGGGAGCAAACAGG